AAAUUUAUUACCCAAAGUAGAGUCAGUUACAAAACAUUUACAACACAAAACAUUUACAAUCUACUUACAAAAAGAAUGAUCGGUUAAGUUAUACCCAAGCAUUACAUAGAUUAAUAUUGACACUAUCUAAACGGUUAAUGUUACUUUCUCGAAGUUGAAUUCCAACAAUGUCUUUGAUAGUUUUGAGGAUAUCGUCAACAGUUCUUGAGCAACUUUUAAAUAUUCUACGGUUCGUUCUUCCCACAAAAUUUAAAUAUAGGCACACAAAUCAAUCUUUAAGAUGGUAGUAAGAAGAGAUUUGUCUUUCCAUUUUUCACAAGCUUAAGCAACCAUAUCCUCCCAUGACAGGAAUGUUUUCUGCAAUCCUGAUAGUCAUAAUAUUCUCCCAAAGAUAAUUAGCCAAACAACAAUAAAAAAAUAAAUGAUCACGUUUUUCAUUUGCUGCAUUGCAUAUCACAUAACUCCAAUCAAUAUGGAUUCCCAUUCUUUGAAGACGAGCACGAGUGUGAAGCCUAUCUAAUAAAGUCAUCCAAGUGAUCAUACUGUGUUUAGGGAUGUGUAUAGGAAAUCAUAUCAGUUUGUGGCAUUGAACUUUGUUGCCUUUCACUCUAAGUUCUUCUCAUAUAUCUCUUGUUUUGGUUACUCCUUUUGAUAAAAUUGAAAAAAUUUCAUUCCUAAGUUUGAGUAGUCUGUUUAAACAUCAACUAAGGUUAGUACCCCAGCCAUAAGCCAUGGAUCGUAAUCUUUAAUGACAUAGGCUUUGAUCCAAACAACACAAAUGGAUCCAUCACCAGCCAGAAUUUUUCUAAUUAGAUUCAUGCAAGCCUUAUUCUACAUUUUGAUAUUUUUCAGUCCAAGUCCACUCUCCGAUUUAGGUUGGUAGAUUUUCAUCCAACUAAUACACGCACCAACAACAACCUUGUUAGUUCCUUUCUAGAAAAAUUUAGAACAGAGUUCACACCAAUAAUUCGCAAUGCUAUACAAAACAGCCCGGAUGAACUCAAGGCGGCUAGCAUAGCUGAGAUGCUUACCAGACCAGAAAUGUAUUCUUGAUUUAAUGUUCCCAAUGAGCAGUUCACAGUCUUUUUCAGAGAGUUUUUUAGAUGCUAAAAGGACUCUUAAGUAUCUCACAGGCAAGAAUCCUUGAUUGAAACCAGUGAUUUGCUUAAUCAAUUCGCUUGUUGCCCAAAGUGUCAGGGCUGAACACUCGAUCACAUCGUAGUCUCGUCGGUCAACCCAACUAAACACAGUGUUGGCCCAUCAAACUGCAAUCUUCAAUUCAAUGACGAUAAUUUUCGGGGUUUCUUUUUUCCUAUUGGAAUUGAAUUCCUUUCCCAUUAUUUGUUUUCUAAUAAAGAUUCUUUCUUUUCCUGGUGGACUUGUUUGUUUUCCGCGAUUCUGUAGGAAAGUAGAAAACUUUUUUUCAGGGGUAGAAAGAAGAGUAACCCAUCAACAGGAGCCUCUUCAAAAUCAAAAGUUGGGUCUUCACAGCCUUCAGAAACUUCAUUCAAGCGCAAAAGAGGAGUUUUCCAAAAAAGAUUUGCAACAUAUGAUGUAUGGUUUUGGAGACGAUCCCAAUUAGGAAGCUGAGCAGUGAAUAUUAGUUGCGGAGAGUGAGAAACCAAAGUCGAAGCUGCGAAACCGUGUUUCAGUCCUUAUUGAUCGUUUGGGAUUGUUUCUAUUGUAGCAAAGCUAUUUGAAAAAAGCUUAGGCGUUAAAUAUGUAUGAUGAACAAAUAUGUCUUAAAUUACUUUCAAGCAUUUUACAUUGCUAUGAAAAACUGCUGUAGAGAA